rnacentral:rRNA from 1 species
UACGGAGGGUGCAAGCGUUAUCCGGAUUCACUGGGUUUAAAGGGUGCGUAGGUGGAUCAAUAAGUCAGUGGUGAAAGCCCCGAGCUCAACUUGGGAAUUGCCAUUGAUACUGUAGAUCUUGAGCGCGGUUGAGGUAGGCGGAAUGUUACAUGUAGCGGUGAAAUGCUUAGAUAUGUAACAGAACACCAAUUGCGAAGGCAGCUUACCAAGCCGAUACUGACACUGAGGCACGAAAGCGUGGGGAACAAACAGG